UGUUUCCUGAGUUUUCGCCAUUUACACC
rnacentral:piRNA from 1 species